rnacentral:rRNA from 1 species
CAGCCGCCGCGGUAAUACAGAGGGUGCAAGCGUUAAUCGGAUUUACUAGGCGUAAAGGGCGCGUAGGUGGUUAUUUAAGUGAGAUGUGAAAGCCCCGGGCUUAACCUGGGAACUGCAUCUUAUACUGGGUAACUGGAGUGCAGUAGAGGGUAGUGGAAUUUCCGGUGUAGCGGUGAAAUGCGUAGAUAUCGGAAGGAACACCAGUGGCGAAGGCGGCUACCUGGACUGAGACUGACACUGAGGCGCGAGAGCGUGGGGAGCAAACAGGAUUAGAUACCCCAGUAGUCCCUGUCUCUUAUAC